AAAUUGAAGAGUUUGAUCAUGGCUCAGAUUGAACGCUGGCGGCAGGCCUAACACAUGCAAGUCGAACGGUAACAGGAAGCAGCUUGCUGCUUUGCUGACGAGUGGCGGACGGGUGAGUAAUGUCUGGGAAACUGCCUGGUGGAGGGGGAUAACUACUGGAAACGGUGGCUAAUACCGCAUAACGUCGCAAGACCAAAGAGGGGGACCUUCGGGCCUCUUGCCAUCAGAUGUGCCCAGAUGGGAUUAGCUUGUUGGUGAGGUAACGGCUCACCAAGGCGACGAUCCCUAGCUGGUCUGAGAGGAUGACCAGCCACACUGGAACUGAGACACGGUCCAGACUCCUACGGGAGGCAGCAGUGGGGAAUAUUGCACAAUGGGCGCAAGCCUGAUGCAGCCAUGCCGCGUGUAUGAAGAAGGCCUUCGGGUUGUAAAGUACUUUCAGCGGGGAGG
rnacentral:rRNA from 1 species